UGAUCAGAGGUACUUGGACCAUAUAAAUUGAAUAUCGAACGUGCACGGAAUAUUAACGAUGUUCAAUUGAGUUUUAUUCCCCUAUUGACAAAAUGUGUCUGAACGCAAUUCAUCGUUUUUGAAAUAUAAACUUUUAGUUUCAUACGUGUGAAUAAUAUAGUAUCGGUAUGUGGAAAGUUACGUUUAAUAUUUUGGUGUGCUUACAAAUAUAUGGGACCCUCUGUCGGGCAGCGGAUGUCUGCCUUGUAGACAGCGAUUGUUAAGUACUGCGACUAUGGAUGCUGUAGCAAUGCCUGUUGUGGACUGUCCACAAUUGCCAUCGUAGGCCUGUGAUCGGCAGCCUAUUAUCACUGGCGGCACUGGUGGGGUGAUAUAGUGUGCCUGGCGUGCAUGUGCAAGCAGGGCGCCGGAUCCCGGGGCCAUACCGUCAUGCCGUACAACGCCAACUCCAUCGUGGUGCACAACUCCGGCCUGGGUCACCCCGCCCCCUCUUACAACAGCGACUCCGUUGCGCGGCGGCGGAGCCCCCGGGCGCUCCAACUACGGUAACUACAACGACCCCGUCUACCCCCCGGGCAUGGUUAACGAGGCACACCCCCCUCGUCAUA